UUGACAGUCCUGGAGACUGAAAUCCUGUUUUUAUAGAACAGUUACAGCAAGGGCAGUGGUAGCUUCCCCACACCACCAUGAUCUAUUCUUUUGGAGGGACCACCUCUAGGAUGAAAGGGUAGUUCAGUCUCCAUGCUCAUUCAGUUCUUUGCCUCU
rnacentral:sRNA from 1 species